CUGACUUCUGCUGACCUCUGCUUCCUUUCUGUCCUCUUUAGUUAAUCUGUGCACUUGGCUCUGGGCCAAGCAAGUGGGAAUUUCCCUCCAGGCCACCCCCAGCUUGGAUGAAGGUCCCGUGCGUUCUGUGCUGGUCUGGCGUCAGGAAGGGGAGCUGCUUUCAAGUGGCACUAAAAUACAUAAUGACAGCACAGGAGGACAACAGAAGGAAAGCCACCUGAAAUUAAAGGGCUGGAGACCACACACUCUCACGGUGGACAUUCAUCUCGAAGAAAAUCACUGUAAGGAGAGCCGCACAUGCAGCAGAGCUGGUCACAAGCACACGUGACCCAGAUGUGGACACAGGGCCAUGACUGCAGAGUCCCACGUCAGCAUCCCCAGGGCUGUACGAGAGGGCUGCGCUCAGCUAUUCCCCCAUGCUAUUUCAAGCACUGUGACUUCAUUCUUGUUUGCUGGGAGCAGGAGAUGGGCCACAUCAGUUCAUGUUACUACAGAAAGGAAAGGAGCCUGAUUGUACCCCCACGUUCCUCCUGCCUCCAGUGAGUAUUUCACAAACAUGGUCACAUUCCAUGGAACCGACUGCGAGACCUACCUGGAAAAUGUCACAAGGGGAGCUACUGAUGAAGCCACCAAGUGCUUCCAGCUUUAUCACUGUUGCCCAAUGAGGUCCCUUCAUCUGGGGACACCAGGGGCUCUUCCGCAGAGGGGAGGAGGUCAAGCAAGCAUCCACAUUGGUAGCAGCACGGGGGUUCCCCGCUACACCCACUGAGAGAGAGCCUUGGAGGGCACAGGACUUUCCAUGGGCCUUUCCAAGAAACCGUGCAAACCAAUGGCUGGAGAGGCAGCCAGAUGCCAAAUAUUAAUAAUAUACUAAUAAAUGAAUAUUAAUUUAUAAAUAAAUAUCAAUACUAUAUCAUGAAA